UGAAGCCUUUCCGCCCUUAAAAGGAGAGCUUCCGCCCUCAGUAAAUUAUUCGCGGGGACACAUCCGCCCGACGUUAAAACUUUCCCUUUUGCGUAGGUAGCCGGGGCGGCCGGUGCCGCGGUGCCUGAGGUGGCUUUAGCCCGCUUCCGCCCUUACUGAAAGCCCGGUACGCGACCGAAGCAGGCAUGACGUCACUGCGGGUCGCCAUUUUGCAUUCCCUAUCAAACUUUUUUUUCCCCUCCAAAACCAGGAUGUGAAUUAUGAGGGGCAAAAAACCCCCCUUGUCUCUUUAGGAUAGUAUUCCAUAAAUAUACCUUUUUAGCGACUGGGGGCCUUUUCUCCUUUUUGCAGGACAUUAAUCUAGUAACCACAGCAGGUCCUGGCUGAAUCCAGACUUUCUUCAAGUUUUAUAUGGAGAUUCAUGUUUUUAACUAGCACUAUGAUUCUGAGAGGACGAGCAUGGAGCUCUGUCACAACUGGGCCAGCUGUCAUCCUACUCAGCUACAGCACGCUGAAGAAGCCUCCCGGUAAACAUUGGUUGGCGGUAGAGCCAGAGCUGAAGUCCAGGUUUCCUGACCAUGUUCUACUUUUCAAGCACAACUGUCCUGCAUUGUUACUUGUUUCUGGUUAUGGCACCCGCUGCUGCCAACCUAUGGAUAUGGGUAACAGAUAGAUGUACGUACACACUCUGCCAAGGAAUUAGCCCUGAGCCUGGUGAUGCUCAAGCAGGAGUGCAGGCCAUUUCAAGAGGCCAUGCUCCCAUUUCUUUCAUGGGGAGCUUAUUGGUUUUACGAACACAUGACUGAAACCUUGCUCUCAUAUACUUAGGCAUCGCAGGCCCCAUGACAGGAUUUGUAUGUAGAAACCCUCAUACACCAGAAUCUCACUUUAAGUAUUGAAGCUGUGGUCUUCUAUGCUUGGGGAUACACACACAAGAUUCUCAUCACACAGCACUCACUCUUCACACAUACACAUGCUAGUAUAAAUUC